CCGUUUACACACAACACCGACACGUGUGCACAGCGCACUUGUUGGAUUAUCUGUGGCCACGGCCCUUUUUGUUGCUUGCCGUAGUAGACGCAGAGUUGGCCGCGUAUGGGUCUUUUGAGGCAGGUGCUGGACCCGAACCGUCGGUGCGUCGAUCUAAGCGAUCAGCGCGGUGGCCUCACCGCCGGCGUCCUGGAGUCCCUGCGGACGUUCCUCCGCUACAACGAUCGCUACGUUCACCUCUGCGUAUCCGAUAACGUGCUCGGUAGCGCGGCGAUCGCGGGGCUCUGCGCGCUCAUUAAGCGACAUCCGCACCUGAUCGCUCUUGAGGCGCAGCACUGUGGUCUCCUGGACAAAGACUUUCGCUUCUACGUCGGGCCUGCCAUCUUGACCAUGAGGCACCUGACCUUUGUGGACUUGAGCCGCAACUGCGGACUGACGGACGUGAGUGCGGAGACGCUGGCCCGCAUUCUUGUCGAAACAGAUGUGGAGACGGUGCGGCUAUUCGGAACUUCAUUGACCGAAUGUGGGGGACGAGUAAUCGCGACGGCGGCGGCCAACACGACUACCCUUGUGAGCUGCGAGCUGCCCUUCACGGUCGGCAGUGCCGUCUUGGAAGACAUCGAGGUCUGCACGCGCCGCAACCGCGCUCAUCGCGCCAUACUCAACAACGCCUCGGCGCAUUACACGCGUCUUCAGGUGAGGCGAAGCCGAUUGCCUUGCCCGCCAGCGCUCAAGCACAUGGAGGCGAAUCCGAUGGUUGCGAUAGAUGAGCUGCUUUCGCUGGAGUCGAAGCCGGGUGCACCGCCGCGGUCACCAGUCAUCGAUGUUGUUCCAAAAGUAUGUUAUACUGAGACAGACCGGCGAUGGCGUGCCUGCAUUCACAAAGGGCGGAAGAACGCACUGAUGCAUACGGAGACGCUGCUACCACCGUCGUUGUCGUCCUCAGUGCCAUCAGCUCAGGUUCCCUCCUCUUUUGCAGCCGCCUCUGUUGCCAACACCAAGGUUGCUUCGACGGCGGUGACGCGGAGAGGUAAGGUCACGCCCGACUCGCUGGACGAGGUGACGAUGUGGGACUGGGCAGACCCCGCCAUGUCCACUACUCUUCACUGCCUUUACCUUCUCGAUCGUCAGGCCCAGCUCGCGCCGAACCGGGCCAACUCAGUGGUGGCUGUACCGAACAUAAAUGGACUCUCGCAUACAGGGCCGUCAAAAAAGGCGACGGGCGGCACCGUGCGCCUGCCCUACCUCCGAGUAGGGAAACGGGCGGCGGCGGGGUGAUCGAGCACGCGAUGGAAGUCUAUAAUAAUUUUUGGCGAGGCGUAGUAAGCCAUGCCAUUGUUUUUACACCACCCAAACAGCGGGCGCGAGCAAAGGAGUGGAAGAGGAAUGCAUAAGGCAUGUCACCAGCUCUGGCUCUCACCUUUUUCUUUUGGUGCGGAAGGUGGGUGGUGGCCAUCUUCCUCAGUCUCCUUUCCCCCAAUGACACUCGCACUUUUUUUUUGAUCUCUCUCUCACACAAACACACGCAUAUGUACAUACGACACCCUUGAAAUACACACAAAAAAGAACACCUGGUGUGCAAGGCAUCAAUGCAGAUGACGUCUGCUUCUACCUUCGUCUUCAAGGUUGCUGAAGGCUUCAUGUCUAGUGCUAAUACCACCGUUGAAUGGAUAUAGAUGUACAUGGAUACACAUAUAUAUAUAUAUAUAUAUGCCGAUAUACUUCUGUAUGAAUCCUGUUACGUCUUUUUUUUCUAGGCGUGCAUACAUCUAUAAAUGUGCUAAGCACAAGUGACGCGUCCUCUUUCCUUUCCUUUUUUUUGGGGAAGGAGGCGGGCUCGUCUCGUCUGCACACAUCCCAUGCUCGCCAAGGCGUCGCCAACAGGCGUUUUUUUUUGUGCAAAUCUUUGGUGGCUGUGAGAGCUGUCGCAUCCCUCUCUAUCCCUCUGUGUGUGCGCAUGUGUGUGUGUGUGUGCGUGCGUGCCUAGGAGUGCAUGUGUUCCCCGUUACUAAUGUGCGGAAAACAAAACAACGAAUGGGCUUUCUUUCAGUUCCUUGUCCCUUUCUGCUCUUUGCGCUUGUCACUGUCAUGCUGUUGUGCUGUUGCUUUACUG
rnacentral:misc_RNA from 1 species